GUCCUGGCUUUCUUCCCUGCUUCUCCCAGCUUGUCCAUGCAGGAGAUGGAAUUCCAGUGCUACAGUAUAGGUAGCUCGUGGUGCUCCCAAAAGGAGCCUUUCUGCCUUCAGGACAAGUUGUGGUGCCACUGGAGCUGUUGGGAGAAGCGGAGAGUUGGCAGUGACAGGCCUGGAAUGCUGUUGCUGUGGCACAGAGGCUGCUCCCUGGCAGGGACACUGAGCUGGUCCAACUGUGGCAAGAAGAACAAGUGGGCUGUGAAGGUUUGGGGCAGUCUGGAAGGUUCCUCGUGCCCAAAGGAUCCUGGCAAGUGCAGCCCUGGAAGAGUACGGAAUAAUGAAAAGUGCCCCAGUUCUCCUGAAGCUCAGCUUUGUAAGACAUGUCUCAAGACCAGACAAAAUCCUCCAGCAGUGAGCUUGGCAGAAAAGGCCCUGUGAAGCAAAGCAGCAUGAAACCCCAGAGCUGCUUGUGGAUGGCAGGUGAAACUUGGAGCCCUCCUAUGUAAAGGUGUCUGAUCCCCACAAUCCUCUUUGUGUCCUCUGCCAGCAGCUGCCCUUGGUCAUUCUUGUGGUUUGCAGGUUGUAAAAAGAGCCUUGAGAUUUGCUUCUGGGAACAGGGAUCCGUUUCCUGAUGGGAGUCCUUGAAAUAGAAGUGAGUCUGUGGGAAAUGGGGGCUACAGGAGUGCUGGGGCUGGAGAGUCCUAGGGAGAGCAAUUCCUUUGGGGUAGUUCAGAGAUGUGCUGAACACACAGGUAAUGCUUCAGUGCUCUCCACUGCCAUCCUUCUCUACGAGCCUCCUGUUCCACUGCUCCUUGGGUUUCCUGGGGCAGCAUUUCCUCCUGCCCCUGUACCUGAAACACAGCCCUGUGACAACGGCUCCUUCCUCUGUCCCUGGGUCUCCCCCAGGUACAAACACGACAGUAUUUAAUUAACAACACUGCCCAGAUCAAACACACCCUGCGAGAGAUGGCAAAAGUGCUUCUAUCCCCCUAUGCAGAUUGAUUUGUACGUGCUGGUGGUUUCAGAGUGACAGCUGGGGGCAUUCCAGCAGCUGGGCACACCCGUCUCCUGGAGCUCACCCUGCUGGGCAUGCCUUAGGUACCAGCUGCAGCAAUGCCUGACAGCACUCAGCCCACGCCUGUAUUCCAGGAAAAAAUCCUGCUACAUACAAGCCUUUGCCAGAGCACAACCAGACUCCCUUUUCCUUCCACAAACACUUCCUCCUUAAUAAAGCCUGAAGGAAACUACAUGCUAAAAUACAGCACUUGGCAGAAAAACUGUGGGAUUCUUUCCAAAUCUAAGCUCUAGGAGCAGAGGAAGGCAGGAAAAGGAACUCAGGGAUGAAACCAGGGCCAGUGAGGAUAGAAAAUACACACCCACCACCUGUUCAAAGGUGACCCCAAUCCACCAUCAGGUCUCUUUACCUCAUACCCACUGGCUGGGCCAGCGAGGCACAGGCUGGAUCUCCAGGAACCAGGGGCCGGUAAGGAACAUCCCAACACACCUUCUGUAGGGAUCCAGCUUGCCCAUCCCGUGGGAGAGGAAAUCCAUUGGUUUUCCUUCACACUGGCUGAAUUAAAAAGCUGUGGAGUGGGCGGAGUAAUGAAUCCAUGCUGGAUGCACAGCCCGGUGGGAUAAAGGGAAAACAAGUCACCAGCUGAGAAGGAUGCUCAGACAGACCAGAGCAGCAGUGCUUGACGGAGAGAAGGUCACUUGCCAAGCGAGACCCAGACAGUAGAGCAGAGCCGGAGGAGGCAUUUCUAGUCCUGGCAGCUCCAGUCCAGGGCUGCUGCCAGUACAGCCUUGGCACGGCACAACCUCUGAAGUCCCCGGCUGAGGUGAUGGGGCUGCAGUCCAAGGCCUGCCCCACAGGCAAAUCCUGAAUGCUCGAGAGUUUAUGGGGAAGAGAUGGGCUGAAAAAUCUGCAACACGAUUGACUUGUUCAGUCUUUCUUCUACUGAAAGGAACUGGACUUUGAACACAAGCCCGGUAAAUAACUGUGAUUACAUCAAAUGUGUUCAUCCUUCAUCUGUCUCAUCCUUCCUCGUCGCUGUCUGCUGGCAGAAUCACCUCAGCAGUCUCCAAUGUUUUACUAUUUACAGGCCAGUUUGCUUUUCAGCUGCUCUGACCUUGUUGGAAAGGAAGCAUUGGUGGUUUGCUCACUGGUGCCUCUGCAGUGCUCUCAGCAUGUGGAGACUGUAGAGAACCUUAAAUUGGGUGUAACCCUGCAGAGCUAUUGCCAAAAUAUUACUGCUAAUGUUUCUCAGCUCGUGUUUUGAACAUUUUUUGGAUGCAUAAACAAUGUUGUCCUUUAACAGAUGAGGCUGUAGCACAGAAAGGGUUUGUGCUCACCCACCUCAGCACACAGAGGGGUAAUAGCAGGGGGGUUUUACCAUCUGUAGUAGCUUUACUACAGACCAGCAAAGAGCCAGCCGUGAUUCUCAAAGAGCCACAGCAAAUGAAAGCCAAUCACAACCCCUGACUACCUUCAAAUUGGACACCUCAGCUAAUCAAAAUAUCUCUUAAUCAUAUAAAAUUUCUUAGCAGAUACUAAGAAUAAUAGCAAAAGUUAAGUUUUAUUUAAAGCUGAUGUAAAAAGAAUUUUCCUGAUAGAGAUCUGAAAAUGAUAAACAUGACAAAAAUGAUGUAUUGCAGAAUGAAUUACCACAGCCUGAAAGAGCAGCCAGUGAAAACAGUCUGCAUGUAGCUGAGCUUUUUGGAGAAAUAAAGGUGUUUUGUGAGCAGGCAGGUUCAGCAGUGAAGUUCAGCACUGGUAGACUACCCCCUGUUUGUUUAUGAGGAUUAUAUAGUUAGUGUUCUCUAAAUAAAUCACUGGCUUUGCUCCCACCUUGUGUGCUAGAAAAUAAAUUAGAAAUAACAGAAAUAAGAGAAAUAAAUAACAAUCACUGGAUCUCCAGCCUGAAACCUGAGCACAAAGCAGCCACACCAAAGUCUGAGACCUGUUCCUGGUCCAGAGCCAGGGGAGGUAAUGUACCACUUUUACAAGUCUUUGCAGGGGUGGCACAGCACUCUGGCUGUGUCUGGGCACUCCAUCAGCAGAACACUGUGUAUUAUGGGCUGUACUGUCUCCCACAAGGCAGGGCUUUACCUGGGGCCUGUUACCGAGCCUGUCAGUCUCUAAAUUGAUUUAUUCCAUGCUCAACAAACACCCCUCAGGGCCGUGGCCUGGGUUUCCAGCAAAGACAGUCCUAGAACUGGAGGAUGCAAACACUGAUAGCUUUUUGACAAAGUCCCUUGACUACCUGAAGUUGAGCUGAGAAAACCCCCAUAACCUGUUCUCCCAGCAAGGCUAAAUCUCAGCCUGACACCCCUUGAUAGGUGGUUUGAUGUCUGCUCCACCUGGCAAACCCAAAACUCUCCCACUGGCUUUUCUUCCAGCCUUUGUGCCUUCCAACAAACCCUUCUGAUACUCGGCUACACAACACAGACAUCUUCAGACUGGUCAUUUGGUGUCAAUUACACUGAAGCCAAAGACACAGGUUUAUGUGCCAGAGUAUCAGCUUCUUGGCCACCAGUGAUGGUGACAACCUCAGCAAAUCCUUUUUCCCCACUCACAAUAAGUGAUGGCUGCUCCAAACGCCUCUGUCUCAGUCUAAUAACAUCAGCAGCUACUUCUUUACUUCCAAUCCUCUCCAGUCUUUCUUUCCUGGCAAGAAUCAGCCUUGCCAGACUAGCAUGUUUGCUGUUCCUCUCCCACUGACCUCUUCCCUUGGCAGGAGUUUCCUCCUCACACAGAGCCAUUUCCCUUUGCUCUCUGAGCUCUUUCCCCAGGGUGCUCCUCUGGGAGGGGGUCACUGGAGAUAACCCACAGCAGAGAUAGUGGAAUGCAUCACUGCAGCAAAGGAGGCCAACGUCUUAUCUGCACAACUUAUCUCAAAAAAUGGCUUUGGAAGGGAUGAACCACCGUCCAGUGUAACAGCACUUUGGCAAACAGCUCUUUUAUAAUGAUUUGCCCUAUGAAAAGGUUGGUUAUUGAGUUGGUUUUCCAUUUUUUUCUCACAGCACACCAGGACAACUUCAACUCAGAAACCAGAAUUUAGGUCCAUGCUUGCUGAAACCACGGACAGGAAUUUUUUGUAAAUAUAUUUGAGAUUUCACUCUUUUGGUUUGAUUUUUCUGAGGAGAGCAGAACACAUAGAGAGCAUCAAAAAGCUCUGCUGCUUAGCAAGCACACCUGCAGUUACAGGUUUGACCUCAGUUCUGAACUGCUGGAGUGAAAUUCUAGUUUUUUCAGUACUGUGUCAAGCAUGGAAAGAAUAUGCACUUUUAAUAUUUAUAAGACUGUCAGCAGAAAUUAGGUUAUAUUAUUUAUAAAUAUAUAUAUAUAUAAAGUGAGAGUGAAUGUUUUCACACAGAGAUGGGAAAUCUUCCUACAGGUG